UUAAAGCUGUCCUGCAGAAGGAUCCUAAGUGUGCCGUGUCGUUCUUGCUGGCGAGAAGAACUCAUUACCCGCUGGCAAUUAGCCCUGUGUCGCUGCGUGCAAUGGCAUUAUUCAGCAUGCUCUGGAACUGGUACUGUGGAUAGGAUGAUGCCAUUUACAUCCCCCCUGCCAUCUGCCUUCACACCAAGGUAAAGCCAUGUGAAGAGGUGCUUCGCCAGCUCUUACUGUCUCCCUUACAAGAUGUGUAAUUAGAAACAAAAUGGCAAUGUGUGACUCUUACCACCACUCCUCUCUUGGAAGAAGGCCAUCUUGGUUUCUUAGAUGCUCAUGGGCAACAGGAAAGGAAACACAUCAUUAUUUGCAGUAACAGGCAUCACUGUAGAUCUUUACAGAAGCUCCCUUUGGGAAAGGAGAUACGUGGAAUAUACCCUCCUUUUCCUGAGAAUUCCAGAAUGAACAUUUACACUGAUGAAUGAUGCUUUGUCACAGACUGACAGCUGUGGUCCUCCACCUUCAGGGAACAUGGUAUUGUUUCUUUACUGGGCUUUUACUUAGCUCAUUUCUCCACCAGUGGGGGAGAAGUCUAUGAACUGCAGGAGGUUUCUGAAUCACUCAGGACAAAGAAUUAUACCAGGGUGGGCCUGAGUGGACUGACCUUCAUUGCCAUGCCAUCCCACCAUCAACAAUCAGUCCCUGGCCACCAUGCCAAUGAUCUUACGUAUGUAUUUCUGUACGUUGAGGAGGAGUCUUCAAUCAUUCAUUCUCUUGAUGACCAGCAAAUAGAGAUUCCAAGCUGACUUUUGGUCUUUAUGUCUUUCAUGCUUCUGGUAAAAAGCUGGGCAGAGCCUCUUAGCAUUGUUUUUCGAUCACCCAACAUACAAAACAUAUAUCCUCUAGUAAGGCUUUGCUCGGAGAAGUAAUUAACUUCUGGAAGUGUUCUUGCAAAGGAUGUGCUACUCAGAGCCUCAUCCUGCCCUCAGAUGACCAGUGGUAAAUUAUCACCUCCAAUCUGAACUGUAUCCACUGGGUAUCCUGACCCUCGAUAAGACAGACUCUCUCCUGUGCUUCUAAAGUCUAAAGGUAAUUCCAGCCUUGAGAAACUUUCUGAAGUACUGAGAAUAUUUAAAGGAGUCUUUAUUGAUUGUACACCCUGUCGUCGUCUGUUUUGUUGAAUGAGCAGGGUGUGCUACAUCAAAGCUUGAGAGGCACCACUUUAGACUCUGGGAUCUGAGACUCAGUCUACGUGUCUUUGAAGAGGUCAUGGAGGGCUGUGGUGGAGGAGGCUGUCUUCUAGCAUCUUCUACUAAUAUGCUAGGUAGUAGGUAUCUCAAAAGGAAGCCCUGCACAGCAACCUUGGCCUUGUCCCUUAGUACUCUGGCCCUGGCAUCAGAAUCACCUAGAGAACCAGUUAGGUGAUCCCUUAUCUAGCAACAAAGGAAAGUUGCAAGAGAUAACCUAUCACUUAACAAUGCCUCCCUAAUACCUACCCUCCCUGGUGAGAUCUCCUGCUGUCUCGCAUAUCAAACACUCACUUGCUUCCUACUCCUAACAGACCCCUGUCUCACUUCCCAGCAUCUCUGGUCUAAUAACCUCUGCCCUGGGGCCAAUGCCACCUUCCCCUAUUUAAGCCUGUACAGAGCUUUCAUUAAAGGGCAGCUUGAUCA